GAUUUGCAAGAAUGCAUGAAGGAACUUGGCAUUGUGAAGGCGAUACUACCAAAAGUGUUUUAGGAGAGGGAUUUCAUAUGGGAGGAAGUUAAGAGAUACAGUGAGAUGAACAUGCUGUUGAAUUAUGAGAUCAACAUGUUGAAAAGGAAGGGCUCUGCAUCUUGGACUUCUAUAUGUUGGUUCACUUGUGGUACUUCUUGUGUAUUCUAUCCUGUAUGGUCUGACAGCAAAGGAAUCAAACUGGCUUGGGGCUACAACAUCAGCUGCCGUGAUAAUCCUUGAUUGGAACUUGGGAGCUUGCUUGUAUGGUUUUAAGCUUCUGAAAAGUUGAGUCGUCAUACUUUUUA